AGCCUUGAGGGACGCUAGCCGCGACUUGAGAGAUUCCGGGAGGAGGAUGCUGGGGGGUACGGGACUAUCCCAGACUCGGGGGGUGCUGGGUGGAUACGAGGGUACGGAAUACAUCGACUUGGGGAGUCCUGGGGGGAGCAUGCUGGGGUUCCCAUGGCCAGCUGGGAGGAUGCUGAGAGGACGGGACCAUCCCAGGCUCAGGGAAUUCUGGGAGAACCACCCGAAGCUCAUGGGGAGCAUCCCUGGGUGCCCAGCAUUGAGCUCCAUUUUUGCCUGCAGAGCUCCUGGGACGCCCUGCCUGGAUCCUUCUGCUCUGCUGGAGCCUGGCUGCUUGCUGCACAGGUGCCAUGGCCUUGCAGCCACCCCGUAUCACCAUCUUGCGGAUGCCAGCAGAGCUCCCCCUCCCAGGCGAGAGCGUGACUGUGUCGUGCGAGGCGUUGAGUGGGCUUCCAGAGUCGACGCUGCUUUACUGGCUGGAGAACGGCUUCUUUGUGGAGAGCCUGCACCCGGAUGGGGCUGUGCGUGAGGGGACAGUGCAAGAGGAGCUGCAGGCCUCGGGGCUGGCCCUGCACCGUGAUCUGCACUUCAGUUCCUUCAACAAGCAGUACCUGCACACCAACUUCACCUGCGUGGUGCUCAGUCCCCUCGGUGUCGACACCAGGGAGGUGCGAUGGCCAUCGCCAGCACUGGCCCCCAUCACUGGGAAGAGUGAGGGCCUGGGCUGAGAUGGAGGAGCAACUCCAGUGCUGGGUGCUGAGUGAGCAGCCUGCAGUGCAGCUCCCUGCUCUGACAGCCCCACACCCACCACUGCAUGCACAUGAGACACCUCCAGGGAGGCCCGUCUCUGUGACGCCUCUGCUUUGGGGACUGCAUGGCCCCACAUAUGCUGGCCCCACUGUGAGUGGGGCUCCUGGUGCCCCAAGCCGAGUCAGGAGCGCUGCCUGGGCUGAAACCAGCCCUGCCCAUAGCUGGCUUUGGGACCCUAGAGUUUAUUAAAGUACAUCAAGGUUUCCCAGUGUCACCUGCAUCCCGGUGAUGGUGCUGCCCAGGGGUGUAGAGGGCACAUGUGGGGGAGGGAGAUAAGGUAGCCAUGGGGUCCAUGAAGUGUAGGAUCCAUUCCUGACCCCCUUCCUGCCUAGUGAAGGGCUAGAGAGCCACAGUACUCCCAGUUAUGCUCAGGGAACACCUGGCACAACAGCUGUGCCCUGUCCUGGAGGAGAGUGUGGGUGGAGAAGCCCUGGAGUGCAGGCACCCCAGAAGAUGGGCCCACCACAUCCCUCUCUGCACCUGGGGGGGGUUGGGACUCUUCCUCAGCAUGGCAUUGCUGCUCCGUGGGGCAACCCCUGUAACCAUCCUGUGCUGGCAGGAUACCACCUGCUCUUUAUUGCCAGGCCCCUUCUUGCUCCCUCAGGUGCUUGUGGGGGGUGUGACCCCCUGGACUGUGGGACAGGCUGGGGAACAAAUCCCAAACCCUUUGAGCAACCCCUGGGCUAUGGGCAUCACACUUCAGGAUGCUCAGAAUGUGGGAGGGAUAGGGAUGGGGGUGGGGGGGAGUGGAGAAGUCUCCAGGUGCACGCCCCAUGAGCUGCCCUCAGCCCAGGGAGCCACAGGAGCCCCCUGGGGACACCCCAGUCCCACAGUGACUCUUAAGAGCUAGGGGAAGGCAAGCAGUGGAGCAGCCACCUGGGCAGGGACCUGCACCCCCUAGCCUUGUUAAUUCCAGACUCCAUUCCUGGGAGAGCCUCUCACAGACCCCACACACAGCUGCAUCCUGACACCACAGCUGCCACUCAGCAAAGGCCUCUGUCACGCUCAGCCAAUGUCCUGGGGGCAGUGACACUACGGCCAGGCUGAGCACAGAUACCUGCCGUGCAGGACCCUGUGCGGGUAUCUCCGUGUCCCUCAUCCUGUCCUGCUGUUCCCCUGACGCUGGUGGCUCCAUCCCUGACCCCUUCUUCUUGCCGCAGUGUGAUGGCAGCAGCACACUUCUCACUGCACACCAUGGCACCCAGCCCUGCCAUGCCAUCUCACGCCAUGCUGCGUCAUGCUGCGGCACACUUUGCUGCCCACAGACCCUACUGCAAACCACAGGUGAGAGCUGCUCUGAGAUGUGCAAGGCUGUGUGUCCAUGGCAUGCCCUCCCCACCACCAAGAUCGAGAUCUCCCUGUCCUGGCAGACCUGGUGGGACAGGACUGUUCCCUGCCGCAAGUCCCCAUGGCCCAGCAGUGGGAGAGACUGUCUUGCAGGGACAUCACCUUUCACAAAAUCACAGUUGUAGGUGCUGAGCACCGUUGGAAACAGCUGGAAGAGGGCAAUUUCAGCAACCUCAAACAUCUGGAAAAGCAGGAUGAGGACCUCCUUGUCCUUAUGGGACAAGUCCUUGGUAGGGACACUGUAGCAGGUCUCUGACACAGUGCCAGAUUUUUCCCCAGCCAGCUCCCGGCACUGAGCCAAGAGUGGGCUGCUCCUGGGAAGCAGGGCAGAUUAGGGCUGAUGCUCUAUGGCCCUGGCUGUCCAGCAUCGAGGGCAGGAGCAAGGAAUGGGAGAGGUCUUCCAUGUGGCUUCCAAAAGGGAUUCAUUCUCUUGAAGGUUCCAGGGAUGAAAGACAAAAGAUACAGGGGUACGUGUAAGUAAGGGGGAGGAGCAAGGGGAGUGUACAAAUAAUAAACCAAUAGGGAAGACUUAGGCGAAGAGCGCAAGGCUGGGUUACACAGUACAUAAACCAGUGGGUAACACAAGGGGAGGAGAGUGGGGCACAUGGUCCAAUGGGGCUUGGAGGAAUAGGGGAAUUCCAAAGGGGACAGUCCAGGCAGGGUGUUGGCACAAGGGAGGAUUGACAACUUAAUGGGAGGGAGACCAGGGAACAUUUGGGAACAAGGGGCAGGUAUCAGGGUGGACUGGCAACCGGGGUAGGAGGGCACAACUGGAACUAAACUAUUAAUAAGGGGGAGUGGGGAUACAACUUAACAAUACAGGAGGUAAUUGAAUCAAAUAUAAUGAACAAAAAUGCACUGCAACAGGUCUCCAUCAUGAAGAUGACAUCCCAGUUGAAGGGCAGGGUGCCCGUUUUCCAGAGGGAAGUGGAGGUGGAGCAGCCAACAUGGAUGGGUUGGUGGUACUGCAAUGUUCCCAUGGACACAGUAGCAGCUAAGAAGCAGGAGCACCUCUGAAGGAAAUGUGGCCCAAGAAUAAAACCAUGCUGGAGAAGGUACACCUUGAAGCAUCUGUGGCUGUGCUGGACGUCAUGUUGGAACACCUCAAAGUGUGUGGCCAUGCAUAAACCCUCAACAGAGCAGAUAUACCCCAGGAGGCACUUCAGCCAUGCAGAAGGCCAAACUAGAGCGGAAAGCUGCAAAAUCCAAAAAGGCAUCAGGACUGAUAACCCAGUGCAUCUGUCCCAGUGCCUGCAGCGUGGACAGCAAACAGGAGAUCCUGGAAGGCAUGGUGCAGGAGGAAAACUAUGGCAUCGUUGCCAUCACAAAGACAUGGUGGGAUGACUAGCACCACUGGAAUGGUGCAAUGGAUGGUGGUGAACUCUUCAGAAGGGACAGGCAAGGAAUGAGGGGUGGUGGGGUAGUCCUGUAUGUGAAGGAGUGUUUUGACAGUCUAGAGUUUGACAGUGGUGAUGCAAGUGUCGAGGGUUGGUGGGUAAGAAUUGUGGGGAAGGCCAGCAGGGCAGAUAGCCAGGUGGUAGCUGGGUACAGAUCACCUGACCAAGUCCUCAUGAUGGCCAGCCCUUGUCUUCAUGCGGGCUUCAACACAGCAGACUUCUGCUGAAAAUACAAUCCAGUACAGAGGAGAGAGUUCAGUAGGUUCCUGGAAUGUGUGGAAGAGAUGUUUCUGACACAGCUGGUGAGGGGGCAGCUAGGGAAGGCAACUCCUGGACAUGCUGUUUGUGAGGAGAGAAGUUCUAGUGCAUGGUGGGAGGCCAUCCUGGUGACCUUAAAAGGAUAGAAUUUUUGAUUUUUGGAGCAGUAAGGGAGUCAGCAGAACUGCCACCUUGGACUCCCUGAGAGCAGACUUUGGUUGACAGAGUCUCUCAGGAGGCUGUCCUGAACAGCAAAGGAGGCCAGGAAGGCUGGACAUGCUGUAAGAAGGAAUCUUCAGGGCACAGGAGCAGGCUAUGCUAAAAGAAGAGCCAGAGGGAGAAGAACUUUGUCUGGAACUCAGAGUAAAAAGGAGAGUUUAUGACUUUUGAAAGAGACAGCAAGUCAGGAAAGCAACAAGAAUGUAAUGAGGUUAUGCAGAGAGAAAACAAGAAUAGAAGCCUAUCUGGCCACUGCUGUAAAAGACAAUAAAAUAAAUGUUUCUAUACAUACAUUAACCUAAAAAUGAGGGCUAAAGAGAAUUUCCUUUAUUGGAUGGCUGGGGAAACCCAGAGACAAAGAAUGAGGAAAAGUCUCAGGUACCUCAAAAGGUGACAGAGCAGACCAUUCUGGGUGCCAUCAUAUGGCACAUGCAGGACAACCAGGGAUCAGGCCCAGCCAGCAUGGGUUCAUGAAAGGCAAGCCCUGCUUGAUCAACCUGGCUGCUGUGACAAGAUGACCUGCUCAGGGGGUGAGUGAAAGGCUGUGGACUGUCUACCUGGGGUUUAGCAAAGCCUUGACACCAUUUCCCAUAGCUUUCUGGAGAAACUGUCUGCUCAUGGCUUGGACAUUUGCCAGGAAAAAAAAAAAUGCCUGGAUGUCCAGGCUCUGAAUGGCACCCUAACUCCUCCUGACUUUGGUAUACUGAUACUGUGUACCAGUAUCAGUCAUUCUCACAAGGAUCUGGAGCAUGUAAAGGCCAGGCAUUAUUUUUGAAAAAGCAGCAAAUAUAUUUUCAUUUGAAUCCUAGCAAAUCUUAGUCUUUGUUCCUUACAUGUGCCCUACUAGAGUGCCUUUGCUCCACAGCACGUUGCCUUGUGAUUUUUCAGGGUACUCCUACUGCAUUUCCUUGUGAAGCUGCUUAUCAGUUCUUGAAAAUAAUCUCGCUGCUUAAUCAGCACAGUUAGUCCCAGGCUAGCAGCAGAAAUUCUAGCAUUCAGUAGGUACUCUGCUGUGAAAACAGGAAUGUAAAACAUGCCACAAAGAUGGUGUUUUCCAUGCGUGGCUUUAAAGGAGAGAGGUAGAUAAGAGAGAAACAUUUAAUAGCUUGUGUUUUUAUGAAUGAGGCUGUUUCCCUUUUCAGUCACUCU